rnacentral:tRNA from 1 species
UCCUCGAUGGUCUAGUGGUGAUGAUUUCCGCUUGUGCCAAGCGCGGGAGACCAGGGUUCGAUUCCCUGUCGGGGAG